CACGUCUGCCCUUUGAGGCUUUCUUUGCCUGGUCUGGUUUUCACCUUCCUCUUCAACUCCAUCCCAUCCUCGAGCCCAGGGCCCACUGGCCUCCUUUGUUCUUUGGGAUGCUCUGUCCCACCAACUGGAGAACAAGCAUUUGAAUGUACGAGUCGAAGGUGACCGGUUUCAUUUAAACCACCACAGCGAAUGAUUUGCCAGGAGAUAAACAUGACUGAAUUGAAUGACACCGAGAACAAGCGAGCGGCGAGGGACGCUUUGGGAAAAUCACACUCCAGGUCCCGAAGCUCGGGAGAAUCUUGUGAAUAGCUGCUUCCGAAGAACGGUUCACACACAGUGCAGGAUACUACCCCAAGCCUGUAAAGUUGGGGGACAUUCAAGAGUGGACAUUCGCUGCCAUCAAUCCUUAACUGUUUGCUCUGAACUAGGUAUGAAUUAACAGGAAAAGAAAACUCAGAGAAGACCCCGCUAAGAACUGGGCAAGGUUCGAACCCAUCAUGUUCUUCGUCGGUACCUGGUAGCCCAACUCCCAAGUCUCUACCUGUCCCUGCACCCUGGUGGCAUUUCCACCUCACAUGAUAGCUGCUUGCGGGAGUGUUUCCCACCGUCUUCUCUCUCACCAAAGCAUCAGCUGGGAUUUCAGUGGAGCACGUCCCAGGCUCGUUGCUUCCUGGGGCAUCAUUGGUAACUUUCAGCGUGGGUUUCCUGUGGCAAGCUGAUGCUGGGUGGCUGAAUGCCAUCUCUGCUUCCGGUGCUGGCCUAGCCCACUUAGGUGGCUACUGGUGAAUUAUUUUCUUCUUGCCCUCUUGCAAACAUCAGCAAAGCUGUUCCUCAUCUCCAACCGGAAGAAGUAAGUCUGUAAUGAACUAGAUCAACCUCAGGACUUGGCAACAAAAUAUCCUUGGAACUGGGCUUGGAACUCGGGGUUUCUCCUUGCCUGCCUGCCGCCCCUCCCCCUCUCUGUUCCUGGGUGGUGGAUCUGGUUGACUUCCUGCCUACAGCUUGUCUCCCAAGACUCUUGUCAGGUCUCUGUUCCUAGAACCGAUCCUUCAGCUGGGGCAGGGUUGCCAGCUUAGUCACAACCUCUUGCUCCAUACUUUCUUAUGAAAUCUGUCCACCCGGAUCCUCAGUGUCCCGUUCUGCCCACGUUGUCUGUCACCAAACCUCCAGCUCAGGUUCCUGUUCUCAUUGUUGACGAGUUUCCAGGGCUCGCACCAACGGUCAUGAUCUCCCGUGGACGCCUCUGCAAUGUGAGCAUCCUCAACAGGGGCUUCCCCAAGCCCGGACGCUGCCCUGGGGCUGGGGCUUCCUUCCUCAACUGAAGCUUGCUCUCAGCCUCUCACGACAAGUUCAAAACCUUCCUGAGACAAAUUUAAACGAAAAUAAAGUUAAAGGGUCAUAUUUAUGAAUGCCUUGGAAAAUAGUAACAUGAGUCACCUGACCUGAAAGACCAGCCAAGUGUGUGAUGACCUUGAAGGUUCACAUUUACUUGGUUUCUUCCCGUGUGUCCUGCUCACAAUUCAAUGGACACAUUUUAACCAGUCUCCAGAGUGCUAGAAUUACAGCAGUGCCUCACCGUCCCUGGCUCAAGAGGAAAUCGUUAAUACGGGAACUCUCCAUGAAGCAUGUAUUUAAAUCUUAAACCUGGCAAUGGCAGGAGAGCUCAGUGACAGAAGUCGGGCAGACCACACGGGUCCGGAGACCUGAGUUCAACCGCCUGAAGCCAUGGAAACAGGAGAAAACCAACUCUACAGUGUGGUCCCCUGACCUCCACGU